AGACGCUUACGGGCUUCAUUCAUGGGCCGAAAUUGUAGCUAAACGGGCCAAGGCCCAAGAUUCAACAAAACAAAAGGGGAGGGGGUAGUAUCGUCAUUUCACAAGAAACUGUAGAGCCUCCACAAAAUUGGAAGUUUGGAUCCGUUUCAAUCCCAAGUACCCGAUCCGAUUUGGACGACGACACGCUUCUGUGCUCCAACAAUGCUAUUACCAUAUGGAUUUACCAUGGAUCAUUAUCUUUCGCUGUUGGUGGGAUUGCUUCUUUCAUGCUGUUCUUGUGCUAGCAGCAAGAACAUGUCCACUGGGAAUAGAAGCCACAGUUUUUCCAACUCUCAUGUCUUAUAGCAACAGAGGGAGCCUUCUUGGAAGUCUGAUCGGUGCUCUGCUUUGACUCAGCUCUUUGGUGUCACUCAUGAUAGAUUUGAAUUUUUAACCUCUCUAGAAAUCUUGUGCAAUCUGAGCUCAGUGUUCAAUCUGAGCUCAGUGUUGCCUUGACUAUAACAGCCCAAGCUCACUGUUAGCAUAUAUUGUCCUCUUUAGAACACGUUUAAGGU